rnacentral:pre_miRNA from 1 species
UCUUAUGGAUGAGCAAAGAAAGUGGUUUCUUGAGAUGGAAUCUACUCCUAAUGAAGAUACUGUGAA